rnacentral:misc_RNA from 1 species
UUUCCGUAGGUGAACCUGCGGAAGGAUCAUUAUCGUGGGGCUUCGGCCCCGUUGAGAUAACACCCUUGCCUUUUUGAGUACCGUCCGUUUCCUCGGCAGGCCCGCCUGCCAAUGGGGACAACCAAAACGCCCUGAAGCACCCGUAACUUGCCUGAUAAAACAAACAAAAUCAAAACUUUCAACAACGGAUCUCUUGGUUCUG